UCCGGAUUUUGUUCAUCCGAAACUAAAUCACAAGUAUCAACACCCGGUGUAAUUUUUGUUUGUAUUUUGGAGAAACUCGAUUGAUUUCUAGCAAACUUGGUUUACCACUACAUCGUCGCUUAUUAUUAUUUGUUGCUGCUUGGGACAAUAAAGUUAAGUCAGCAACCGUCGACCAGACUGCAAGAUUAAUCUCUUCCAGAGGAUUUCGUACCUUUCCAGAUACACUGUGUUGUGUGUGGAUAAGAAAUGCAGAGUGGUACCAGCAAUCACCUAAGCCACCAUUCCCCUAACAGACAAAAGGCUCAUGGGGACAGUUCCUGCAAUUUGCAGCAAAGCUCUCAAUUGUAGCUCUACGAACUUCAGAUACUGCCGAUGGUGGAGCUUGGGUGCACCGGGCCGGUUUUUCAGCCGUCUGGAAUCAACAUCUCCAGCUGAACUGGGGCCGGGAAUAAUAUAAGACUCCUUAGCAGCAUGAGUUUCAGCCAGUCAUUGCUGUUCUUUACAUUGCUGAGGAGGACAGUCCUGCCAACAUAACAGCUUGUUCAAUAACAGCCAGCCUGGUUGCUGUAGCCACAGAGGAUUUUUCAAGGACAAGAACCAGUGCUGGUCAAAAUGUGGUCUAGUGUGGUUUUCCAUACCGGCUCUCGGCAAGGAUUUCCAAGAAAGGAAUACCGUCUCCAAAUCAUGAUGUGCCAAUAUGCUCCAGUUAGCUGCAGCUUUUUCCCCCGGCGGUAGUCCUGCAAUCUGAAUCCUGGAGAUGCAGCUCUGAAUCCAAUAUUUCAGAAGAAUGAAUAUGUUAGUCAACUCUGUAGUACUUGUUUGUGUGUAAAUUAUUCCAAAGAGUGAGAUUUAUAGCAUUUCAGGUGUAAAUAAGCAUCUUAUAGACAAUGGUGAAGUGCUGUACUCUGAAUUUAAUGCCAAAUCUAGCCUUCAAAACAGAUACUUAAAGUAAAAAAAUAAAAUAAAAAGGGCAUAAUAAUGCUAUCUCUGUAUUUUCUACAUCAUGUAACCACCUCAUACAUGAAAACACUAGCAGUUGUCAUGAAUCUUUCAGUUUUGGUGUUUUUUUGCCAUUUUCUUUGUUGCGCAAUUUGUCCCGGAAGCAAACAAUUUGGCAAAUAGUGCUGUUUAGACUGUCUAUAAACACAUGAUCACUAAAUUUCUUUUGUAAAAUUGAACAGUUCUGUUUUCUUUGUUGACAAGUUGAAGCAUUUCAGUUUGGCUCUAUGUCAUUUUUAGCUCGACUAUAUAAGAAUAAGGAGAGCUAUACUACUCACCCAAGCGUCGGCGUCGGCGUCACCCCUUGGUUAAGGUUUUGCGUGCAAGCACACAUAGGUUAAUAUCUCAGCAACUACUUGAGGUAAUGCAUUGAGACUUUAUAAAAUGGUACUCAACCAUCCAAGCUACUUAAUUAACCAAGUUUGAUAACUCUUCUUUGCAUUUAAUGCCAAUAAUAGGCCUUUAUUAUUUGACUUAGAAAUUCUGGUUAAGGUUUUGCGUGCAAGCACACAUAGGUUAAUAUCUCAGCAACUACUUGAGGUAUUGCAUUGAGACUUGAUACAAUGGUACUGAACCAUCCAACCUACUUUAUUAACCAAGUUUGAUAACUCUACUUUGCAUUUAAUGCCAAUAAUAUGCCUUUAUUAUUUGACUUAGAAAUUCUGGUCAAGGUUUUGCGUGCAAGUACACAUAGGUUAAUAUCUCAGCAACUACUUGAGGUAGUGCAUUGAGACUUGAUACAAUAGUACUUAACCAUCCAACCUACUUAAUUAACCAAGAUUGAUAACUCUACUUUGCAUUUAUACCAAAAAUAGGCCUUUAUUAUUUGACUUAGAAAUUCUGGUUAAGGUUUUGCGUGCAAGCACACAUAGGUUAAUAUCUCAGCAACUACUUGAGGUAUUGCAUUGAGACUUGAUACAAUGGUACUGAACCAUCCAACCUACUUAAUUAACCAAGUUAGAUAACUCUAGUUUGCAUUUAAUGCAAAUAAUAGGCCUUUAUUAUUUGACUUAGAAAUUCUGGUUAAGGUUUUGAGUGCAAGCACACAUAGGUUAAUAUCUCAGCAACUACUGGAUGAAUGCACUGAGACUUUAUAAAAUGGUACUCAACCAUCCAAUCUACUUAAAUAACCAAGUAAGAUAACUCUAGUUUGCAUAAAAUUCAAAUAAUGGCCCCUUUUUAUUCAACAUAGAAAUUCUGGUUAAGGUUUUGCAUAUAACCACUUUUAAGUCAAUGCUUUAGCAAAUACAUCAUGUAUUGCAUUGAAACUUUACACACAGGCUCCCAACCAUUUAACCUUCUUAUUUAAUCAAGUAAGAUAACUCUAUCUUUCAUAUUAUAUAAUUUUUGCCCCUUUAUUAUGCGACUUAGAAAUUCUGGUGAAGGUCUUGCAUGUUAGCACACAUAGGAUAAUAUCUCAGCAACUACUUGAUGUAUUGCAUUGAGACUUUAUACAAUGGUAUUCAACCACCCAAUCUAAUUGAAUAAUCAAGUUAGAUAACUGUGUUUUGCAAAUAAUGGCCCUUUAUUAUUACCCUUAAAAAUUGUGAUUAAAAUUUACCACAUUUAUGUUAAUAUCUCAGCACACCAUGUAUUGCAUUGAAAUCUUAUCUAACAGUGAUCCAUGCAUGUUUCGCUAAAACUUUUCAAUACUUACACUGAAAAGCGACGGAAUAGUCGAGCGCGCUGUCUCUGUGACAGCUCUUGUUUAUAUAAAACACUAACCGAUGAAGUGGAAAAACCUUAUUUUGCUUAGAAAAAAAUCUUAAAAGAGUAGGCAUGCCAUUUUGUUGUGCUGUUCUAUAGACACCAUUGAAAGCUACAAGGAAAACUUUACUCGGUCAAAUAAUUCCAAUGCAUAAGGAAAUAAUGGCUCUUCAAAGGUUUGCGCCUUACCAUUUGAGAGAAAUGGCUGUUUCUGCUUUUUGUGAAGAUACCACAGGUGCUAAUACUUGUCUCAUUCAUUUAGUGUUAAAGAUCCGGAUGUGAAUACAGAAAAAAAGAGUGCUUGUGUUCAAGUAUCAAUACUUUAUUAAAGUUGAAUAAAAGAGAAGAAACAGGUGGCCUUUUUGCAUAGAGCUUAACAUAAUUUGACACUGUAUUGCAAAAACUGAUAGAUUUCCGGGAAUAAAUUGGAAAAAUAAUUGCCUGUGGAACUAUGUAAAUUGGUUGUUUGUAGCCUUAGUCCGUCUUGACCUCAGGGUCAUGUAUGACUACUCAAUUUUGUGAGACAACGCAAUGGUCAACCCUAUGUUUUCUUGUAAUUAAAUUUUGUGUCUUGGACUGUUCUACAGCAGCCAGUUACUUGUUUUUCAAUUGGGACUGUUUUAAAGUGAAAAGCCAGGUUACUGUCUAUAUGAAACAAAUAGUAAAAAUAACUAUGGUCUCACACCAGGUGGGAGAAAAAGCAUCAACCAUAGCCGCUCGUGUAAGAUAGGUUCAUCCCGAGGUUCAUUCUGACCCUCGCGCAGGGUGUUUUGCGGAAACUCGGUAAACCUCGUUUCCGCAAAACACCCUACGCUCGGGUCGGGAUGACCCUAUCUUGCACUCUUGGCCAUAGAAGAUACUUAUAGUGUAAUAAAAUGAUACUGUUUCAAAUCCAUGAAAUAUCCUUGGGUUUUUGGUUGAAAAGAGGUAUGAUAAUCCUGUUAGUAGUAUAAUGUAUAUGUUUACACAAUAAUAUUUUUAGCAUACAUGCCAUAUCCCCCGGAGGGGGAAAAAAUCCCCCGGAAUUUCAGUCCAUCACCCGGUCUCUUGGCGGGAGAUGCAAAUCCCCCGGAAUUUCCAAAAAAAAAAAGAUUUUUUUUUAAACCUCCGCUUACGAGCGUGUUGUCACUGGUUUUAUUACCCGAGAUUUGAUCCGCGUGUUUACGGUAAGGAAUUUGAUGCGCUGUAUUUUGCAUCUGGAUUAUCGAUUGAUGGUGUGUAUACAGCCUUGCACAAACUGCCAAUCAGUAGGGUACAUGUUUUGAUUGUUACACAGUGUGCCAUAAUAGCGCCUUUGAUCUCUGCGUUAUACGAUCGAAAGGUCGCAAUAAAUUUGUACAGGUGUCACUAAUUGUUUGUUUGUUUUUUACCCUGUAAGGGUGUUGACAUUAAAUUACAAAUGAAGAUGUUAACACGCAACUAUUGGACAAUUUUCCGACGUGUGAAAAUGUUACGGUAUACUGUAGUGUUUCUGAUAAUGAUGGAUUAUUCUAAAUUCAUAUCAGUACAGUCACCAUCAAACUGAAACGCUGAGCUGAGCGUUGUUUCAGCAUAUUGAGAAAAAUUCAGACAGACUCAAGGUCAAGAUUGACUUCAGAAACAAUUCACAAUCUGCUGAGUGUAAAGUUUAAUGAACAUAACAUUUGCAGCUCAUUUAAUUGUUCCUUCCAAGGACAUGCUAUAUAAAUCAACCAAUUCAUGCAAUUAAUUGUGCAUGUGUUUGCUAUCCUGAUUGUCAUGUGGACCUAGUGCUGUGAAGUGCCUAAAAAUGAAUUUUUUUAGUAGUGCUUACUUAGUUCUGUGAAGUGCCUAAAAAUUCAUUUUUUUUAGUAGUGCUUUUUGUAAAAAUUUACUUUUUUUAUUAUUUAACAUUUUAUAUAAAUACAUUGAAGUGUUAUAUGCAUAAUAUAUUAUGAAUUGAUGUUAGUUCAGUUGUCAUUGCAAUAUUGAAUGAAUAUUUUUAUAUAAUUAUGUGAAUAAAAUACAAAAAAUUGAUAUUUCGUGAACUUAUACUUUCGAUAUAAAAUCCCCCGGAAUACUUUCCAAAUCCCCCUAAAUUUUAAGCCU